AUACGUAGGUGGCAAGCGUUGUCCGGAUUUAUUGGGCGUAAAGCGAGCGCAGGCGGUCUCUUAAGUCUGAUGUGAAAGCCCCCGGCUCAACCGGGGAGGGUCAUUGGAAACUGGGAGACUCGAGUGCAGAAGAGGAGAGUGGAAUUCAAUGUGUAGCGGUGAAAUGCGUAGAUAUAUGGAGGAACACCAGUGGCGAAGGCGGCUCUCUGGUCUGUAACUGACGCUGAGGCUCGAAAGCGUGGGGAGCAGACAGGAUUAGAUACCCUGGUAGUCCACGCCGUAAACGAUGAGUGCUAAGUGUUGGAGGGUUUCCGCCCUUCAGUGCUGCAGCUAACGCAUUAAGCACUCCGCCUGGGGAGUACGGCCGCAAGGCUGAAACUCAAAUGAAUUGACGGGG
rnacentral:rRNA from 1 species